GCAGCAGCCGCGGUAAUACAGAGGGUGCGAGCGUUAAUCGGAUUUACUGGGCGUAAAGCGUGCGUAGGCGGCUUUUUAAGUCGGAUGUGAAAUUCCUGAGCUUAACUUAGGAAUUGCAUUCGAUACUGGGAAGCUAGAGUAUGGGAGAGGAUGGUAGAAUUCCAGGUGUAGCGGUGAAAUGCGUAGAGAUCUGGAGGAAUACCGAUGGCGAAGGCAGCCAUCUGGCCUAAUACUGACGCUGAGGUACGAAAGCAUGGGGAGCAAACAGGAUUAGAUACCCCAGUAGUCCCUGUCUCUUAUAC
rnacentral:rRNA from 1 species